rnacentral:tRNA from 1 species
GGGGUCUUAGCUCAGCUGGGAGAGCGCAUCGCUGGCAGUGAUGAGGUCAGGGGUUCGAUCCCCCUAGACUCCACCA